rnacentral:rRNA from 1 species
ACCUGCGGAAGGAUCAUUACAAAAAGGCCCAAAUAGUAUGCUUGUGCAUAUCAACUGCUAUUUGAACCUUUAUUCUACCUUGAUUUUUUGCGUACUCCUGUUUCCUUGGUAGGCUUGCCUGCCAGCUGGACAAAUCUAUAACCCUUUUAAUAUUUAAUCAGCGUCUGAGUAGAUUUAAUAAUUACAACUUUCAACAACGGAUCUCUUGGUUCUGGCAUCGAUGAAGAACGCAGCGAAAUGCGAUAAGUAGUGUGAAUUGCAGAAUUCAGUGAAUCAUCGAAUCUUUGAACGCACAUUGCGCCCCUUGGUAUUCCAUGGGGCAUGCCUGUUCGAGCGUCAUUUGUACCCUCAAGCUCUGCUUGGUGUUGGGUGUUUGUCCUCUCCUCUGCGAUUGGACUCGCCUUAAAGCAAUUGGCAGCCAGUGUUUUGGUAUUGAAGCGCAGCACAUUUUGCGAUUCUGGCCUAAAUACUUGCGUCCACAAGCCUUUUUAUAACGCUUGACCUCGGAUCAGGUAGGGAUACCCGCUGAACUUAAGCAUAUCAAUAAGCGGAGGAAAAGAAACCAA